rnacentral:rRNA from 1 species
GACGAACGCUGGCGGCGUGCCUAAUACAUGCAAGUUGAGCGAUGAAGAUUGGUGCUUGCACCAAUUUGAAGAGCAGCGAACGGGUGAGUAACGCGUGGGGAAUCUGCCUUUGAGCGGGGGACAACAUUUGGAAACGAAUGCUAAUACCGCAUAACAACUUUAAAUAUAAGUUUUAAGUUUGAAAGAUGCAAUUGCAUCACUCAAAGAUGAUCCCGCGUUGUAUUAGCUAGUUGGUGAGGUAAAGGCUCACCAAGGCGAUGAUACAUAGCCGACCUGAGAGGGUGAUCGGCCACAUUGGGACUGAGACACGGCCCAAACUCCUACGGGAGGCAGCAGUAGGGAAUCUUCGGCAAUGGACGAAAGUCUGACCGAGCAACGCCGCGUGAGUGAAGAAGGUUUUCGGAUCGUAAAACUCUGUUGGUAGAGAAGAACGUUGGUGAGAGUGGAAAGCUCAUCAAGUGACGGUAACUACCCAGAAAGGGACGGCUAACUACGUG